ACAUACACACACUGCUCUGUGGCUUGCUUUUUCUAGCAGGAGCACUUUGGCCAGCGACCAGAGGCAGACAGCAAAGGUGAGCAGCAUCCAGACGCUUGUUGUUCCUAGUCCCGAUGAAGUCAAGGUCCCCUCGUGUGGAAACAGAAACAAACCCACAACGCUGUCUGACAGCGGCGGCUGGAUGUGUCUGAAUGCGUGGCGACUCCGGGAAGUCCUCAGAACCAUGCAGGUCCUUGAAGAAGCUGCUGUCUUACUGUGUUGUGGGAAAGGAGAGAAAACAGCACAGUUGAGUGAGUCUUAGAUGUGGAAAAUCACUCCUCAGGAUUUCACGAGGCAAAACCACACAGAACGAACGAAUGACUUAACCACUGAAAGACACACGCUUAUAAAAUUCAAACGAUCCAGAGCCAUCGG
ensembl:lincRNA Gm34728 predicted gene, 34728